rnacentral:tRNA from 1 species
GUGACACAAUUACGGGUAAUGACUCCAACUUAUAACGUAUCGGGGGUUCGAAUCCCCCCCUCACCGCCA